UACGUAGGGGGCAAGCGUUAUCCGGAUUUACUGGGUGUAAAGGGAGCGUAGACGGCGAUGCAAGUCUGAAGUGAAAGGCGGGGGCCCAACCCCCCGGACUGCUUUGGAAACUGUAUGGCUGGAGUGCAGGAGAGGUAAGUGGAAUUCCUAGUGUAGCGGUGAAAUGCGUAGAUAUUAGAAGGAACACCAGUGGCGAAGGCGGCUUACUGGACUGUAACUGACGUUGAGGCUCGAAAGCGUGGGGAGCAAAC
rnacentral:rRNA from 1 species